rnacentral:rRNA from 1 species
AACGAACGCUGGCGGCGUGGUUAAGACAUGCAAGUCGUACGGUUGCGUUGUAGCAAUAUGGCGCAAUAGUGGCGGACGGGUGAGUAAUGAAUAGGUAACGUACCCCGAACUCAGGGAUAGCGUCGGGAGGCUUGCUCCCUUUCGUCGAAAGUAGACGGUAAUACCUGAUGAUAUCCUCGGUUGGCAUCAAUUGAGGAUCAAAGGACGGGGGACCCGGCCAAGGGCCUGUUGGUUUGGGAGCGGCCAUUUCCUAUCAGCUAGUUGGUGAGGUAACGGCUCACCAAGGCAGCGACGGGUAGCCGGACUGAGAGGUUGACCGGCCACAUCGGGACUGAGACACUGCCCGGACACCUACGGGUGGCUGCAGU